rnacentral:rRNA from 1 species
UACGAAGGGGGCAAGCGUUGUUCGGAAUUACUGGGCGUAAAGGGCGCGUAGGCGGUGCACUAAGUCAGGCGUGAAAGCCCUGGGCUCAACCCGGGAAUUGCGCUUGAUACUGGUGCGCUCGAAUCCAGGAGAGGUUGGUGGAAUUCCCAGUGUAGAGGUGAAAUUCGUAGAGAUUGGGAAGAACACCGGUGGCGAAGGCGGCCAACUGGACUGGUAUUGACGCUGAGGCGCGAAAACGUGGGGAGCAAACAGG